AUGGCCACAGUCAAAUGACUGAAACAAGUAAAAGUGUAAAAGAGAAUAAUUAAUAAUUAAAAUUUAUUAUUUAGGUUUCUUUUAUAUUUUUAAAAAAUCUUUUAACAACACAUUGUUAAUUUUUGAUGCUUUAAAUUCUAUGCUACCAAAAGGAAGAAAUGAUGAAAUUGAAAACUUGAAUGAACUCUAAAUAUACUUUCAUUUUUACAUUGUUCUAUACAAUCAAAUAUAAUAUCUAGCAGUUGUUACAGCAUUAUUGACAUUUGAAUUAUAAGUUGUGGUUAGCACUGCCAUAUGGCAAACAAGAGAUUAAAUUCUUGUUGGCAACCUUGCAACUUCUGUCUUACUUUAUAUGUAAAACCAUAGGUAGAUAUUUACAAACUGUGUUCACCAUUGAGAAAGCAGCUUGUAUGAGGAAUCCUAGUUAAGUUGAGGCUUCUAAUUUACAUGGUUGAAGCUGUGAGGUGACUCUGGAGCAUCGCCAUAUGGUUUACAACAGGCAUGAAGUACAAUUGGCAUAAGUAAUCUUGCAAUUUUUUCUAUCUAUAUAUACAUAUGAAAUGUGUAUCUGUAUGUAUAUAUAUAUAUAUAUGUGUGUGUGUGUAUAUAUAUGCACGCAUGUGUGUAUAUAUAUAUAUAUUUAUUUAUAUAUAUAUACACACACACACACAUUUCUGAGAAAAAACAGAUAUUUUCAAAUCAUUUUUACAUGGAAAAGACCCAUAAAAUAUAACACAUAUAAUUACAAUUCAAACUUGUAUUAAUAACAAACCUAAUUUCCUUUUUGGAUAUUAGCAACAUGGUAGCUAAUAAAAAGUAACAUUUAAUUGCUUCUGUUUUCAAAAUCAAUCAAUUUGUCAACCUUGUUUUUAAAACUUUAGAACGUUUUCAAAUUUUUUUUUUUCCUUAAAAUCUUGAACUUUUAAUUUAAUCAUAUAGCAAACUCCUUCAGCAAUAAACUAUAUCAGUUACAGGGAAACAUUUUGGAGGGCUGCUAAAUCUAUUUUUUUCACAUAAAUAUAGUUAUUUUAUAAAAACUCAAAGAAAAUGAAAAAGUGAAUUUUUGGAACAAGCACAGCUAUAGCCAUCAUAGCAGUAUUUUAGGCCAUUAUCAAUGCACUGGGCUCAAAAGUAUGUAUUGACAGCUUUAAGAUGGUGCUGAAUACAGUUGCUGUAAAUUUUUCCACCUACCAAAAGUUUUCUUUGGAUUCCUAUGUCUUAAACACAGCUGUAAUUAUUUCAAAUAAGUAAUUACAUUUCUAGAUAAAGAAAUAUAGGUGUUUCUAAAAUUCAUAAUUAGAUGAAAAGGUAGGCAGAUAGGCUUUAAAUAUAACUAAAAAUGUAUAUUUUAUUACGAUUUUUCCUUCAUACAUCUUUCAGAAGGCCACUCUUAACAAGUGUCCAACCUCUGAAUUAGAUCAGUAGUAAAGAAUAAAUAAGUAUAGAAUCAUGUCCAUGUGUGUUUAGUCUCAUUGUGAAAUGAGGAGCUUGGCCUCUUUCUACAGCUUGGGAUAAAACCUAAACUGACUAAUUUUGUCAUUAUUUAAUUCAUUAAGAUUGCUACUCCAGUAUCAGAUCAAUAGCAUUUUUUUUCUAUAGACUAGCUUAUUGUAUACAAUGCCCAGAUGCACUACAAUUCACCAGAAAAAGAAAAAAGAGGGGUAAGAAAGCUACAAUAAAUUAAGAAAGCCAAAAGUGAAUUCACAGAAUAAAACGCAAAACACAGAAAUUGAAUAGUAAGAGCCAUAAAAAUGGAAAGAUGCAGUGUUCUAACAGCUAACAACCAACAUUGGUAGUUUAUUCUACCCUUUGACAAUUCUAAGUGAAAAUAUUCAAUGUGCAUUUGUUAUAAAUAAACUUGCUGUAAAUUGUUUGAUACAGUUCCGAUCAGUUUGUUGUUCAGUGAAACUUAAGAAGAAAAUCAAAUAUAU